GAUUUCCUUGACACUCUUCUGGUUGGAAACCUGGUUACAAAAACAGUUCCUUUUUUUUCUUUCCCCUUCUCCCCCCUCUUUUUUUUUCCCUAUGUAUUGCUAUAAAACGCUUGAUGCCUGAAGAUUUUUUUUCCCCAUUAUUGAAUCUCUCCUUUUGUGCAAAGAAGUUGGCUGGGUGCAUGGUAAGAAAGAGGACCUUUAGGCAAGAUGAUCUCUCCUUGUCUGAUACUAAGAUGAUGGAGCUGUUUGCUUUUCCCUGGACACAAAGUAAGACUUUCCAAGCAGAUCACUGUAUUGUCUAUAUUUUUACUCUUUUCCCAAAAUAUUUUUUGGCUAAACCAUCUCCUCUCUACGAAGGGAAAUUUUUCACCCUCUACCUCAGCUGAAUUUUUUUUUUUUUCUUUAUGUAUGGAGCUCUUCUUUUUUUUAGCUGAGUUCAUAACUCCUAUUUCUAUUUGCUUCUUUGCCUUUUCAAAUAUCUAGUCCAGGAAUCCUUCCACCUGAGAUUACCAAGAAAAACCUCCCACAAAUAACAGCUAUGCACAGUUUACAACUUGUAGAUUUGAGUUUGUUUACGUAAACUUGCAAAUAUGAAAGGCUAUGUGAGAAGACUUCAGGCAGAGAACACUCCCCAAUUAUCAGGAGUACAGCGUUUGUGUUGUAUAUGGUGUCUUACCUACCCAUGUGUACCCACAAAGGACCUUCAGCUACAUCAGCAACAGGAUAUUUCCAUUUUGAACACAGCACUUAAGCACAAAAUGUGAAGUUCCCUCAUCAGCUGAAGCUUUCACCAGAAGAUCCCAAAUUCCUUAGCUGACAGGAUUGCACCAGAGAUGUUUUUAGAUACAGACCCAUCAGCCCUGAGAGAAGAUGAGUGAGUUUACUAUAUUGAAGAGAUCAACAGUAGAUUUAGUGGAGAAAGUAAAGCCUUUGGGCAGAUGAAAAAAAGUCUAAAAAAUCUAGUUUUCAAGCAGAAAACUUGACUAGUGAUGCAGAGAGCAUGGCAGGAGCUAAAAACUCUUUUUGUGCAGAGACAAUGCCUCAGUGUCAAACCCAACACAUGAAAAUAGGAACACUACAUAUUUUUGAGAGAUGGUUUCAAUAUUUGAUCCAGUUUUCAUUCCCACAGAACAGAAGUAAAUCAUUUUGUUCUGUAGCCCUGAGGGAGUGCAUUGAGUCCUACUUCUUGCCUGAUGCACAGCCCUACAGGUCAGUGUGUGGCUGAGGGAGGUCAGCACUGAGCACCCUCCACAAUGGGCAGAGUGCUGAGAUGCUUCCUCUCCACUGCUGUUUGCAGUUUCCUCCCUCACUUUGGGAUAACCUCCCUAAAAAUUGUUUAAAGUCCUCCAUGACAAUCCUCCAAGUGUUCAACUCCACCUGUCUUUACAGACCAUGCAGCUGUUUGUCCCUACAUCUCAGGUGCUGAACCACACGGUGAGAAGUCCCCACCCUGCACUACCUCAGGCCCCAAAUUAAUCACUUCCUUCCUUAAGUAGGUCUGACACUAGAAGGUGAGGGUUCACAGAGAAAAUAGAUGUGAUUUCAAACAGCCUGCCACACGUGUGGUGAGAAUGGCUCACCAGCCUCACCAGCCUACCUUGCAGGUUCUCUUUUAUGGUCUGUAGCUGGAGGUGCUGAGGUAUCCUCAGAAAGCCACAGGCAGAAACCACACAGAGAUUAAACGUGUGAUAGGGAGAGGCAGGGGAAACGCUCCUGCUCGUUUUCUUGUGCUUGUUCUGCUGAAGAUACACCCAGCAGGACCUCCUUUAGAAGUUUCUGUCUGUUUUCCAAAGGAAAAAAAAAAGCACACCAGCAAACCCAAAGCUUGGAAAAAUACUCAACAAAAUCAAGCAUGACAGAAAAACUAUGCAAGGCCAUUGCUGUUGCUCUACUCAGCCUUUUUUCCUGCUCUUCAUCUACAGUAGAGACGUACAAGAGACCCAACAGAGCUUUGUUGCCUCUUUGCACAUUGGUGGAAGGCUGUGAUAUUUUCUCAAGGCUUUCCCAAUUAACAUCCCUGUAAAAUGUUGUAACAUUUAGCUCCACAUGUUAAAGAAGGUACUUUCUUCUCUAGCUGCCAUUCUCACCAGCUCUGCCUGCUUCAGUGCAGAUCCGUGUGACUGUGGAGCCAGGAGGUGACUUUUUUUUCAAAGUUCACUCAUUUAGAACAUUUAGACAUUUUAGAGCCAUUUAGAACACUGAGAUAUUUUAGAAUUUUUGAGAUUUCUGAGGCAAUUUGGACUGAAGAUGGCAUUUCUUGGUUUGAAUGAAACACUCUAUUUUAACUCUCAAAAAAUGUAUAACCAGGACUGGAGUGAUCAAAAUUCAUGAGUGAUGAAUGACACGUUGCAAAUUAUUUUGCUUUUGCCACAUCUUUCAUGCAAAUGAUGAACUGCAAGGUUUUCUAAUACUUGACAUGAGAAAGCAUUUAUUAAAGUGUUAAUAGCACACACAGAAAAGCUUUAUUGUAAUACACAAACAUCUUAUUAAAGUGUUUAUAACACACAAACAAGCUUUCAGAAUUGGGUUAGAAACCAGAUUUAAGGACUGCAGGUAAAUAACACAAUAAAGAGAUAAAAUAUCAAGUGAAUAUCAAAUGGCAGUGUUUAAGGCCAGGUUGGAUGGGGUUUGGAGCAAACUGAUCUAGUGGA